UAAAAAAAAAAAAAAAGGGGGUCAGAAAAGGUGCUACUUCACUGUAUUUUGUUACUCUGAUUGGAACUGAUUACGAUGAGUAUCUAUAAUACCAAGAAGCAAAACAACAAACAGCAUUCUCAUCUAUUGCCUUUGUAGUCCAACAUGGUAAAUUCAUCUGCUUAUUUAACACAAUAUUCAUCUACUAAGGCAUGAAUUCUCAACUUUGAAGCCUCCGAUCACAUCUCCAGUAAUCAAAAUCUUUUCUCCAUUCUUGAUUCUUCUUCAAUCUUUUCUGAUGUUACCCUAGAUAAUGGAUCAAAAACUGUAGUUAAAGGAAUAGACUCACCCUCUUCCUUAUCUUUAAAUUUAGUUUUAUUUGCAUCCAAAUGUUCAUAUACUUUGACAUCUAUUAGUAAAUUAACCACACACCUAAAUCAUUUUGCAACCUCUUUUCUAACUCUGUUCUAGUGCAGGACCAAGAUAUAGGAAAGAUGGUUGGCAUAAGCUAUGAAUCACAAACAUUGUAUCAUCUCUCUAGCCCAAAGUCCCCAAUUAACUUUGCUUCUGGUGCUUCUCCUGAUCUACUUCAUAGUCCCCAUGUCACCCAAAUAUCUCCAAACUCUAGAA
rnacentral:misc_RNA from 1 species